ensembl:ncRNA F25D7.8 ncRNA
UCGUAUUCGCUUUUCGGGCGAUUUCACCUUCGUACCAGUCGGUACAGGUCGGUGCGCGCGCUCCACCUCUCUCUCUCUCUCAUAUACCGAUUUCUUUUCCGCAGUUUUCCAUUGCGAUUCUUUUACCACCCAUGAGAAGAAGAA